GCUUGUGUUGAUUCAAUAGAGGGAUUGUGGCAUGUUGGGUAGGAAAAUUCUUGAGCUUGAUCUUGCAAAAGCAUGAGCUUACUCCUGAAAAGGAGGAUCUUGAAGCAGGUGGAAACUUAAGAGCCAAGUUACCUACGAGGAUCCGUACAAAUGGGCACGGAUCCAUUGUUGAUUGAGAACAAAUUUCAAUUGCUGUAACGACGAAUACUGAUGGUAGCGCAGCCUCAGACG
rnacentral:misc_RNA from 1 species